UGUGACGUCAAUGGGGGCGGGGCGUUAGUGAGAUCGUGAGAGGUUUCUUCUUCGAUCUUGGAGAGUGCCUACUACUGAAAACUAAUAACGUUUCUCCGUCUCAUCAUUUGACCCUAUUAAUCAAGUUACGUAAUGUGCAAAAGUGCAAUAUGACUCUCAGCACAUUGAGGUAACAUGGUUAACUACAUAGUCCAUGAGUUUGGUCACGUUUGAAGGCAAUUGAAGGGAGUUUUAACAGAGUGAUAAACUGGUUGGUAUUUUCCCCAUUGUAAGUAAUGGAGGUUGGCUAGGUUGCUAAUGGUUUACAUGUAAGAGAAGGGAUCAAGAUGGCGUCCUAUUUGUUUUAUUUUCUAUCAAAGACUCAGUUAUUUAGUUCAGGUAAUAUAUGUAAAUAUGUGAUGUCACGAUAAAAUGUGUUGAUAUUUCUACAAAAAUAGCAUUAACAGUUCGCUAGCUUGAUGCUAUCCAUAUUUAGCUUGGCUAAGCGCUAGCUAGCUUUAGGCUAGUUGAUUUCAGUCAACGUCAGCUUACAUGUUAGUAGUUUAUAAUAUAAUGAUUGUAGCACCGUUUAGCACAGGCCUCCAGUAAUUUCUAGCUUUUCCCAAAUUGACACUGAUAGUACAGUGAGUUAUAUAUAAUAUGAAUGUGUAGAUGUGUGGUGAUAGUAUUUUAACCUCAGACCUUUUAUUUUUUUGAUACUGGAGUAUGAAAUGUGGAGAUGUAAUGCAACAAUAGAGUUGUAAUGGAUACCUGGUUUUGAAACCAAAAAGAUUAACAAAAGAGAACAGUAUUUUAAUACAUCUUGGAGAAUUCCUACUACUGAACACUAGUAACGUUUCUCCGUCUCAUCAUUUUACCCUGUUAAUUCAGGUUUAUUAUCUGCUGACCACAUCCCAGUCCGAGGCGUGUAACAUAUGUCAACAGGUGUUAAGGACUUGAAAGUUACAGAAAUUGAGUCAACUGUAAGGACAAGGGAUCACAGCUAAAUGAAAUCCAACUGAUGCCAUUGCGUGAAGACACAAACAAGCUGAUAUUCAUUGAUUAUUUUUGACUGCUGUCAUAUUAAAUAUAAUUCCAUUAUUGCUUUUGUGCUGAGUUUCACUAUUUAUCAAGGCUACUUCUACUUCUGAAUCAGUAAGCUUGACUCUGAAUCAUGUGCAGUGUGACCACUGAGACUUAAACUAACUCAAUAUGACUCCUGAGAUAUACAGUUAAUCAAUUAUAGCGUCUUUGAAAAUAAUCAAAAUCAGUCAGUCUGGUCAGAGUGACUCUAUAAAGACAGACUGAAUCAACAGAGAGAGUUAGAGAGAGCGAGAGGGAGAUUGUCUAGAAUCAGACUCUUUAAACAGUCUUGGUUUGACCACCAGAGAAAAGAAAGAAAGUAGUUAUGAGCUGAACAAUAUGCCAGUGGAAGGGAGGACAGUACCAGGUAACCCAGUUGUGGUUUGUAACUAUUCUGAUUUCUCAUUGUUGCCAAUUGAGUUGCAGUGGAAUAGAAACUCAGUGGCACCAGUUAUGUGAUCCAGACCCCAGAUGGUAGGUGUUCUGCCCGUGUGUCAUGUUAACAUGCUGAAAGGGUAUUAUAUGCGUGACUCUCCAGACAGCUCCUCAGGUGAGCCGGUCCAGCCCGUCUCCAGUGUGUCUGCGGUGGUGCUGAAGCCUGUCUGGGACCUAGAGGAGGAUAAGGAGGACGGGUUGGAGUUACUCCAUACGUUACAGCAGUGUGAACACAACAAGUUACCCUCUCAAAUGGAACAUGUGGAGAACAAAUCAAACGAAUGAUCUUAUCCUGUUGAUAAAUAGUUUUCUCAAUGUGUUUCAGGACGUUCCAAGUCGCACGGCCAUCUUGGAACAUGACGUGGAUGUGGGGAACGCUGCUCCUAUUCGUCAGCAUCCGUACCGGGUUAACGCACAUAGUCCAUCUAACCGUCAGCCAGUCCUGAGCUGCUCCUCAGUCCUGAGCUGCCCCUCAGUCCGGAGCUGCCCCUCAGUCCGGAGCUGCCCCUCAGUCCUGUGCUGCCCCUCAGUUCGGAGCUGCCCCUCAGUCCGGAGCUGCCCCUCAGUCCAGUGGGGCCCUUUAGUAGGGUUGCCAGUCCUAGGUCGGUGGCGAGGGUCGCCGCUUUAAAGAGGCCACAGAGGCGGGCGAAGAGGCGCACCAGAACUUUGGUGAAGUGGGGUCCACGUCCCGCGCCAGAACCACCACCAUCUAUUUCUGUGUUUGGCAUGAUAUGGUUCUCAAUCAGAGGCAGCUGUUUAUCGUUGUCCCUGAUUGAGAACCAUAUUUAGGUAGCCUGGGUUUCACUGUUGUUUUGUGGGUGUUUGUUUCCUGUGUCAGUCUUUGUGCCACACAGGACUGUUUCAUUAAUAUUCACUUUGUUAUUUUAUAUUGUGUCAUGUUCAGUUUAUUCUAUUAAAACAUGGACACUUACCA